CAGCAGCCGCGGUAAUACGUAGGGUGCGAGCGUUAUCCGGAAUUAUUGGGCGUAAAGAGCUCGUAGGCGGUUUGUCGCGUCUGUCGUGAAAGUCCGGGGCUUAACCCCGGAUCUGCGGUGGGUACGGGCAGACUAGAGUGCAGUAGGGGAGACUGGAAUUCCUGGUGUAGCGGUGGAAUGCGCAGAUAUCAGGAGGAACACCGAUGGCGAAGGCAGGUCUCUGGGCUGUAACUGACGCUGAGGAGCGAAAGCAUGGGGAGCGAACAGGAUUAGAUACCCUGGUAGUCCAUGCCGUAAACGUUGGGCACUAGGUGUGGGGACCAUUCCACGGUUUCCGCGCCGCAGCUAACGCAUUAAGUGCCCCGCCUGGGGAGUACGGCCGCAAGGCUAAAACUCAAAGGAAUUGACGGGGGCCCGCGCAAGCGGCGGAGCAUGCGGAUUAAUUCGAUGCAACGCGAAGAACCUUACCAAGGCUUGACAUGUUUUCGAUCGCCGUGGAGACACGGUUUCCCCUUUGGGGCGGAUUCACAGGUGGUGCAUGGUUGUCGUCAGCUCGUGUCGUGAGAUGUUGGGUUAAGUCCCGCAACGAGCGCAACCCUCGUUCCAUGUUGCCAGCACGUUGUGGUGGGGACUCAUGGGAGACUGCCGGGGUCAACUCGGAGGAAGGUGAGGACGACGUCAAAUCAUCAUGCCCCUUAUGUCUUGGGCUUCACGCAUGCUACAAUGGCCGGUACAAUGGGUUGCGAUACUGUGAGGUGGAGCUAAUCCCAAAAAGCCGGUCUCAGUUCGGAUUGGGGUCUGCAACUCGACCCCAUGAAGUCGGAGUCGCUAGUAAUCGCAGAUCAGCAACGCUGCGGUGAAUACGUUCCCGGGCCUUGUACACACCGCCCGUCAAGUCACGAAAGUCGGUAACACCCGAAGCCGGUGGCCUAACCCUUGUGGGGGGAGCCGUCGAAGGUGGGACCAGCGAUUGGGACUAAGUCGUAACAAGGUAGCCGU
rnacentral:rRNA from 1 species